rnacentral:rRNA from 1 species
UGACCUCGAAUCAGGUAGGAAUACCCGCUGA